rnacentral:rRNA from 1 species
GACGAACGCUGGCGGCGUGCUUAACACAUGCAAGUCGAACGGAAAGGCCCUGCUUUUGUGGGGUGCUCGAGUGGCGAACGGGUGCGUAACACGUGAGUAACCUGCCCUUGACUUUGGGAUAACUUCAGGAAACUGGGGCUAAUACCGGAUAGGAGCUCCUGCUGCAUGGUGGGGGUUGGAAAGUUUCGGCGGUUGGGGAUGGACUCGCGGCUUAUCAGCUUGUUGGUGGGGUAGUGGCUUACCAAGGCUUUGACGGGUAGCCGGCCUGAGAGGGUGACCGGCCACAUUGGGACUGAGGUACGGCCCAGACGCCUACGGGAGGCAGCAGGGGGGAAUAUUGCACAAUGGGCGGAAGCCUGAUGCAGCAACGCCGCGUGCGGGAUGACGGCCUUCGGGUUGUAAACCGCUUUCGCCUGUGACGAAGCGUGAGUGACGGUAAUGGGUAAAGAAGCACCGGCUAACUACGUG